UGGAGAUAGGUGAACAUGCAGUUGUAGCUAGUUAAUAAAGAGUUAUGUUAAGAAACAUCCUGUAGUUCUGCGUUUUAUUAUUUUGUACAAAAUAAGACAUGGUGUCAGAGUAAAUGGUCUUAAAAUAUGGAUUUUUCUGGAGUAACUUCACCUCGAAUGGACUGGGAGUCUACAAACUUACCCGAUGCAUGGCGUAAGUACAAACAGCAUGUGGAGCUAAUUUUCACGGGUCCUCUGAAGGCAAGAGGAGAAGAGGAAAAAUGCAGCUACCUGCUCCUCUGGAUCGGUGAAAAAGGGAGAGAUAUUUACCACACGUGGACACUUACCGAGGCUGAAUCAAAGGAGCCCAGAACAAAGAGAGGAGGGUAAGGAUCUAUAAGUUCCAGCUGCAGCACUUCAGACACCUAGUGCUUUAACAUCACCAUCAAGAUCACCUAGAACAUCCUAGGAAAUGUCAGUUAGUUGCAACAUCUGAGUUCAAAUGUAUGCUUUGUGGAUGGGGAGCUGCCCCUGGAAUGUGAUGGGGCGGCGGUGCUAGCUGAGACCUUUUGGGAUCCUCAGCCUCAAGGAGAUCAAGCCGUCAGCGCUGAGUGGGGCGGCAGGGGCUGGUGGCAAACGAGUAGAUUGCCAUGACCAAGGUGGACCAGAAGAAGGUGGUUUCAUAGUACUUAAAACCACAACUUGUGUUCCAAGCCACUAGAGGGCGCCAAUGGCUAACUGACAAACCCCCAUCCAUCCUUUCAUCCACCCACAUCCAGAAGAAAGAUUUCAUCGAUAACAUGAUUCCCAUCAUCAUCAAUCUGAAGAGCAUGCUGAAACAGAAGCGCUGGCCAGUUCUGAAGGACAUCAUGGGCUCCCUCCAGACCAUUUCCGGAGACCUUCUCCCUUACCUCACCUCGCUCAUCAACUCAUCCUUGACCGCUGGCUACGUCCCUUCCGUCUUCAAGAGAGCGAGAGUUGCACCCCUUCUGAAAAAAC